UGGAGGGCCUUGUCGCGAGCAACGUCGAUGAUCGGGUUGUCAUUCACGGAGUUGAUCUCGCGCUGGAUGGAGUGAGUGGCGUGGCGGAUGACCUCGAUCUGGGGGCCGAGCCACUGCGGGGAGGUCCGCAGCGCGUAGCGGUCCUGCUUGGGCUUCUUGAGGGAGUCGGUCUCGUGGAGCUUGGCGGCGGCCUUCAUGUAGGAGCUCCCGGCGAGGACGUGCUCCAUGAUGGCGGCGGCCUCGAUCUGGCCGGGGUGGUGCUUGAGCUUGUGCGUCAGCGGAUCCGUGAACUCGGGCUUGCCUUGCAUCGCCUCGCAGAACAUCGCGGACAGGAUCUCGGCCAGGAGCGCCAGGACGUUGGCGUCGAAGCAGGCGAUGGAGGCCACCGCCGCGCCGACUGCCGUGCCGUUGACGAUGGCGAAGCCUUCCUUGGGCUGGAGCUCGAAGGGCUGCUCCACGCCGACGAGCUUCAGCGCCUCGGUGCUGUUGACGACCUUCCCGUCCGGCAAGACGGCGCGCGCGUUGGAUCGGCCGCUGAGCAGCCCGGCAAUGUAGCUGAGAGGGACGAGAUCGCCGGAGGCAGUGAUCGUCCCGCGGAGUGGGAUCCGCGGCACGAUGCCCGAGUUGACGAGCUUCUCCAUGGCGGACAGGAUCUCCCACCGGAUGCCCGAGUAGCCCUGGAGGAGCGUGUUGGUGCGCACCAGCAUCGCGCCGCGCGCGAAGGCCAGCGGGAGAACGUUGGUCGAAUCGUCGUCGCUGAAGAUCCCGGCGUUGAGGACGCGGAUGAGCUCGCGCUGGAGCCCCACGCCCUGGUUGAUCCGGCGGUGGGAGGUGGCGCCGAAUCCAGUCGUGACGCCGAGGAUGUCGGUCCCCUUCAUCGCAUUGUCGAGUACCCAGUUGGAGCUCUCGUCCACCCUCUUCUUGGCGGCGGCGGAAUCCAAGCGUACCUGGGCACCGCGCUUGGCCACCGCCGCCACCUGGGCGAUGGUGAGCGUGGUGCCCUCGAUCGGGAAGCUGGGCUUGGCGGCGCCGUAGACGGUGUGGGCCAUCUCGCGGACCUCCUCGAGGUGGCUACCCGACAUCGCCGCCGCGGCCUUCUUCCAGCUGAGGGGAUCGGCGGUGUCGUAGCGCGGAGUGGAAUUGGUGGGAUCUGGCGACACCCGGACGAGCGGCGAGUAGGAGGAGGUUGUGUCGCUGCCGUUGGCCACCAUUUUCGCUUCUUCCCUGUGAGCUUCUCCUCGAUCGAUCGAUCGAUUGAGGGAGGAUUUGUCUAGCUCCUGCAGCAGGGGAGGAAUGAGAAGCCCAAAUUGAGAGCGCCGGUGCGUGGAAUCGAUUGCCCGGCCUUGCCCUGUUCUCCGAUCGAAUCGCCGCCUCUUUGCUCCGAUCGAAUCGAAUGUUUGCGCUCUUCUUUGUGUGUUCUUCCUCUUCUUUUGUGCGUUGGAAAAAGAGAGAAGAGAGAACACUGAUCUAUGCCAGCGUUUGAACUACCCUUUAUACCCGCGCUGCCGCCCUCGGAUGAGGGCCCAUCCGACGGCUGCGCGGUCAUGGCCAUGGCCAUGACUGGCAUGACGUGGCAGCAAGAUGCUCCGAGAAUAUUCUGGGCUGCGUCCUAACCCCUAGUUCGCUGUAAGAAAUUAAAACACAUGGGCGGUAGAAUCCUACCGUACGCACCUCGAUUUUCGUACGAACUGUCACCAACCGCGGCGUCCAGGUGGACGACCGGAUUGUCAAGUUCGCGUGGCUGACGGGUGGAUGGACUGGUGGGGGCAUGGGGGCAUGCGGGCUCAUGGUGAAUAUCUAUCUUUUUCUUUUCUUUCUUGUGUGUAUGUGGGGUUGUGAUGUGCUGCGUGGAGAGACUAGCCACCUCCCCUCUAUGUUUCGAUCAAUCUGAAAUGCCUUAAGAGUUAUUUGCUUUGGUGGAUUGAUCCACAGUGUUUAUGCAAUAUACCUAUUAUGGUUCUCUAGCAUGCAUUGUGUAGUUUUCUAUCUUCCUUGAUUUCCUAGUACCACACGCUUAACAAUUAAAGGAACUAUUUGACAGGUGAUUUAUAAUGGUUUAAAUAUGAAAAGAAGAGGUGUAUAAAUAAAAGUGCAUUUUAUUUUUCAAUCGAUUAAAGGUUUUGAGAUAUUUUGGGUUUGAGUAAUAUUGGGCUAGAUGAAGUUUAAAUUUAAAAUUUUACAUUUGGUAUCAUAGGGAUUUUAGGUUUGACUUUGGAAAAGUUUACUAUUAAUAGUUUACAUCUGGUAUCAUAAUGGUUUUAAGAAUUAUACCACAUGUUGAGAUUAAGAUCUAGUAAGUUUAGCUUGCUUCUAGCUGGCUCAAGCUAAGGGGUAGGAUGUCACUAAAUCUCCUUAAACUCUUAAGUAUUAGUCCUAAUUUUCAGAUCCAUAUGAGAAUCAGCUAACAUUACAAGAAGAUAUUAAAUAGCAAAACAAAAUGCUAGAAACACUAGAAUUAAGAUUAAUGUGUUAUAUGCAUGCUAAGAUUCAACACAACUCUUGAUCCAAUGGACAAUCAAAAGAGGGUAACAUGAACAAUAUGGGAUGUUCUACAUUCUUCUCAUUGUCUCGUUCGUCUUGCUAUAUCACCCAUCUCAUCACUUUAGAUCAGUCAAGGCCAUAAAUCAAGUGAAAGGUGGUGCAACAAAGAAAUCCUUGUUGAUCUAGUUGUCAAACCCUUAUAAAAAUCAUACAUAGAUUUUAAUAAUGUAAAUUCUUUUGUAAAUACUUUCGUUGAAACUAUUAGUCUCUUGUAGCAUUUGCUUGUUAGUGUCAAAGGAUUUUAACAUUAGAAUCAAAACAUUUUGACACUUGAGGUAUGUUAAUGGUGAAGCGCUCUAUGACAAUAUUGCAUGUUACGGAACAUAACAAGUGGCUUCAAGUUUUGUGAUGGAGUCACUUAGGAGAUGGAUGGUGUAAGCGACUAAUUUUUUCCAUUAUACUUUAGUCACUUAACCAUACCUCCAACCACUUGGAGGAGUCUCAUUCACAACCUCCAUAAGUCCAAUUCCGGACUUGGGGCUUGCUCACCCCGAGAAGGGCAUCCAUGCCCCUCAACCUUUGCACUUGGUCUAAGUGCUCCACGUGUCUGAUCCCAUGAUCAACACUCCAAGGUACCACCAACAUACCAGCCCGUUAUGCUAGGCCAUGCCCUUUCACCUUGGUCACAUCAGUGGUUCAACACCACUUACAUUGCAAUCCCGUCUCUCCAAGACUGAGCCAUCUGUCCAUGAGUGGUCAUCCUAGAUCCACUCCUUAGCAUCCUUAGAAUGCCUGCAGACAUGGGGAAUAGCCUUCCUCGAUAUCUCCUUUCCAAUCCUCACCAAGUCCCUUUCUGUCUAUGGCUGUGUUCACCAACACUGCCACUAGAUCAAGGCCCACAAGCCCGACCUCUAAGUCCCUCAAUCCUUUGGGACUUCCUCACCAUGUGACCGUAUCCUUGGUCACUGCACUAGAGGAUUGCUCCUCUUCCCUUUUACCGUUUAGGACUUUGGGACAAUAUUUUGGAACACCGUGGCCUUACGCAAGCCUCAUGGGUACUCUCCCCACCUCUCGCCUUUUGGUGCUCUAGCCAUGGGCUUAAAGCGAGGUUCCGUUGAGCCACACCAGGUAUCCAAGUAGGUAGUGCCACCCACACUUGGACUGGGAGCAUCGGCCAGUCGAUCUCCUGGGGGAACUAGAGCCGGCUCUUGAACACUUCACCAAGCUACCCCGCUUGUCGGUCCGUGUUCAUUCUAGUCUUGGACUUCCUAGUGGGCAGCUCAUCACCCGACACUGGGUCUGGCCUUCCUGGGCCAAACUGGCCUUUCCUGGCCAAACUAGCCUUUUCUGGCCAAACUAGCUCCACUAUAAUCCUCCCCCUACUAUACUUUUGGAGCUCACCAAACCCCCCAAGGUCUGGGAGACAAACGCUUUGGGCUUUCACCCUCUCAGACUCGAACUCGGACUUGGACUCGGACUUGGACUCGGACUCGGACUUGAACUUGGACUUGGACUCGGACUCGAACUCGGACUCGGUCUCGGCCUCGGCCUCGGUCCUGAUCUCGGUCUUGAUCUCGGUCUCGGUCCCGGUCUCGGUCUUGACCUCGGAGUCCAUCUCGGGUCCUUCUUGGACUCCAUCUCGGAUUCCAUCUCGGGUCCAUCUCGGACUCCAUCUCGGACUCCAUCUUGGGUCCGUCUCGGACUUAAUCUUGGAUCCAUCUCGGGUCCAUCUCGGGUCCAUCUCGGACUCCACCUUGGACUCCACCUCGGACUCCAUCUCGGACUCCAUCUUGGACUCCAUCUCGGGUUUAUCUCGGACUCCGUCUUGGGUCCUUCUUGGGUCCACCUCGGACUCCACCUGACUCCAUCUUGGGUCCUUCUCGGACUCCACUUCGGACUCCAACUUGGGUCCAUCUUGGACACUUCCAUGUGUCAUGUGUUAGUCCUUUUUGGGUCCUUUUUUGGAGCCUCGCUUAUUGCUCGCUUUGUGCUCAUUCCUCAAACACGUUUUUGGGAGUUCCACUUCUGCUCUCAACCUUUCAAAUCGGAGCUUUUAAUCCAAAUGUGUUACACUCAUUUGGCUUUUGCUUCGGCCACUACCAUGUGACGCCCUUCCGGCUCCACUUUGGGGCCUAGGGAUUUUGUGUCUCACAAAUAGCUCAUGGGCAGCAUUGGGCAUUCUUGUUCAUAAUUUCACUAGUAUCUUUAAGAGUGUGUUUUUGAUAUUGUUUUAGUUUCUAUAGGACAUUGAGGAAUGUACAUACACAUUCAUCUUUCAAGUGGCAUUUAUUUUACACAACUCACUAGAAAGUGAAAUCUUGGGUUGUGCUAAUGAUACCCCACAGCAUCUUUUAUGAAUCCACCCCAAAGAUAGUGACAAUCAAGUGCAAGAUACCUACCCUUCAAGGGCAUCUUGUGGAAUCUAACAACUUCCACAAACGAUUUGCUGGGCUCAAGAUUGUGACUUUGUGGUAAAAAGCAUAGUAAAUCUUCCACCAGCUUUUGAAAGGACAUAAUACUGGCACUGGGAAUCUUGUCCCGUCAAAUGUAGGUCUUUGAUUCCAUGCCAGAUCAGAUCCUAGCAUCCUGGAAUUCCUUGCUGGCAAACAUGGCAUCUUGUUCCUCUUUAGAUGACACAAAGAGGGUGUUUGAUUCCAUGAAGAGAAGGAAUCUUUUCUCUUGGACGGUGAUGCUAACGGGAUAUGCCCGAACUGGGGAUCUGGAGGGCAUGAACGCUUUGUUUGGUGCUAUGCCCGAGAGGAAUCUGAUGUCGUGGACGGUCGCGAUUAGUGGGUUUGGUUCCAACGGCAAGAUCCAGCAAGCAAAGAGUCUGUUCGACUCGAUGCUAGAGUGGAAUCUUGUCGCCAUGAAUGCGAUGCUCGCGGCAUUUGUCCAGGAGGGCUAUCUCCAAGAGGCCAAAUCCUUUUUCGAUUGGAUGCCUGAGACGAAUCUAAUUUCCUCGCAACGUUGCUGCGAGCUUACGCUCAGGAAUCACAAAUCCUCGAGGCAAAGCGCUUGUUUGAUUCAAUGCCGGAGAAGAAUCUCGUCACCUGGACGACGAUGGUAGCGGCAUUUGGCCAGGAUCCUCUUCUUCUGAGUGAAACGAGAGAUCUCUUUGAUCGGAUGCCGGAGCACAACAUUGUAUCACGGACAGUGAUGCUGAUGUCAUACGGUCGCGCUGGCCACGUCACUCAAGCACAAGGCAUCUUUCAUCAAAUGCCUGGACGAGACCUGACAGCGUGGAAUGCCAUGCUGGUAGCAUUUGCCCAAGAUGGGCAAAUCUUACACGUAAUUAACUUGUUUGGGCAAAUGCCUGUGCAUGACGUAGGAUCCAUGUCAAUCAUGGUAGACACGCUGGCACGGUGUGGGAAGCUUGAGGAAGCAAAAGAAAUAUUUGAUCAUGUCCGCGGCUGGUGCAUCUCCUCUUGGACGUCGAUGAUCUUUGCAUAUACCUCGUUCGGGUAUUUUGAAGAAGCAGAGGCUUUAUUUUAUACAAUGCCCGAAGUAGAUACCAUAGCCCAAAACGCGCUUAUCUCGUCUUUAGCACUCAAUCGUAAACUUGCUAGUGCAGUUGGUGUUUUUCACAGGGCUAACCAGAGAGAUGUAACAACCUGGAACACCGUUCUUUCUGCAUUUGCCCGUGAUGGAAAUCUGCAAGAAGCUGAAAAAGUCUUCCAAUCGAUGCCGGAGCGCGAUCUCGUGAGCUGGAAUUCAGUGCUGGUGGCAUAUGCGGGGCAAGGCAAGCCAGCCCAAGCGAUCGGAUUCUUCUACGAGCUUCAGCAACAGUGGAUUCCCAGCGCAAUCAGCGUUGUUUGCUUCUUGGUUGCCUGCGGCCGGGUGGGGAACUGCGCACUGGGCAUCUCUUGCUUCAGAUCCAUGACACGGGACUUCGGAUUGGAGGCAACCAAGCAGCACUACAGCUGCGUGAUCGAUCUCCUGUGCCGGGCAGUCGUUUUGGCGAAUGCCCAAGCCGUGAUUGCUGAAAUGCCCAGUGUUCCUGAUCUUGUCGAUUGGCAUUGCGUGCUCGCGUUUUGUUCCAGUGACAAAAACGUUGAACAAGGAAGAGUGUGUGCCAUGUCUGUUCUUGAGAUGGAACCAUACAACGCUGCUGCUUACGUCUCGUUGUCAUAAACAUUGAUCUAAAACUCCCGCCAAGAUUUAAACUUUUGGCUGACGUGGCGCUCAUUUAUUGGUGGAAGGAACCCUAGAAAGGGAUCACUGGAAUUCGCGAAGAUCCCAGGAGCAGCAAGGAGAAGGAGCAAGAACAGUCUUCUCCUUCCUCCAUGGCCGUCAACAAUGCGUUGCUGGAAAAGGUGUCGUUGUCAUCUUCUUCGUCGGCUUCCGGUGGUGGUGGGAAUGACAGCCGGGGAAAGCUCCGGGGGCAUGAUUCCUGUGGAGCCACCGUCACCUCCCAUUCCACCAGACACCCACGUCACGCGCUCACACAAAAAAUCGUCCAAGCACAACUCUGGAUCGAGCGAGGUGGCCUGAGCCGGAGCUGGGGUGGUUCCAAUCUCGGGAGGAAUUUGCCUUCUCCUCGUGAGAUCUGCGAGGAGCUUGACAAGUUCGUCAUCGGCCAGGAACGAGCCAAAAAGGUGUGUGUUCUUGCUUUUAUCUUACGUUUAGUUGUUCUUCUCUUCCAGGUGUUGUCUGUGGCAGUCUAUAAUCACUACAAACGGAUUUACUUUGAGAGUUUAAGAACUGAAGCUGCCAAAGCCGUUGUUAUGGGAGAGUACGCAACAUUUUUUCUAUUCCUAUACCAACAAGUGCUUGCAUCGUUUUUCAGAUCAGAGGAAUUUGACGAGAGCAUAGCGUCGAAUGCCAAUGCGUCUGGAGACGAUGAAGUUGAGCUUGAGAAGAGCAACGUGCUGUUCCUCGGUCCUACUGGCUCUGGUACCGAUGCUUUACACAAGAUUCCAUGCAAGCUCAUCUUGAUUUUUUGCAGGGAAGACAUUGUUAGCUAAGUGCUUGGAAAGUUUUCCUUCAUAAUUGCAGAUGCUAUGACGCUCACACAAGCAAGAUUAAAUCAACAAAUUUUCUAAGAUGCAAGGAAAUUUUGUUUGAGCUUGCUUCAUUUAUAAAGUAUUGGCUCCUUCUUAGGCAGGAUAUGUUGGAGAAUCUAUCCUUCAUAAACUUCUUGUGGUAUGUUUGGGGUACUAUUACCAAACCUGGUCGUAAGCACUUUGUCUUUCACUAGGCGGCCGAGUUCAACGUAAAUGCAGCUCAGCCUACAUUGACGAAGUCGACAAAAUUACCAAAAAGGUACGAUCAAAAUCCAUUUUUCUUUUUUUCUUUCGGCCUGACUUUUCUCCAGUGCAGUCAGAAAGCCUCAACAUUGGAAGGGACGUGAGCGGUGAAGGUGUUCAACAAGCACUGCUCAAAAUUUUGGAAGGAACUGUAAGGAGCUGAAAUACUAUUCUCAUUGCAAAGACUUCUCGGGUAAUCAACUCGUUCAGUGAGUGUGUACAGAUUGUUAACGUCCCUGAGAAAGGAGCUAGGAAGCAUCCUCGUAGUGAUCACACCCAGGUUUGCUGUGGGGUUCUAUCUUUCAGCUUUGAUUUAUUUAACCAUGCCUACCUUCAGAUUGAUACGAAAGAAAUCCUUUUUAUAUGCGGGGGAGCUUUUGUGGAUCUGAACGAUUGCAGAGAGGUUAGUGGUUGCAAAGAUUUUAGUUAUCGUUUUUAUCUAAAGCAAUAUCCUAGGAGACAAGAUUCGUCUAUCGGUUUUGGGGCACCAGUUAAGAAACAACGGUGGUACAACGAGUGCGACGGUUGCUUCAUCUUCGCUUGAAAAGGUUUGGUCCACUUUACGGCUUUAAAAUUAAGAGAUCUCUCUUUUCUCUUGAUUAGGUCGAGAGCAGUGAUGUCAUUUCAUAUGGAUUGAUACCAGAGUUUAUUGGAUGCUUUCCAGUGAUUGUGAGCCUUUCUGCUUUGAACGAGGAUCAAAUGACUUAUAUUUUACAGCAUAACCUUUGCAAGCGGGCAGGUUCUCAUGACGCGUAAGAACGCAUUACACCAAGCUCUUUGCAGUGAACGACGUAAGAGAUGUCUCAAAACCAACUCAAGAUUGAUCAUGGCUUGUUCCAAUUGGAAUCAAGAUGAGAGCUCUUUCACUUUGUUCGUUUAUCAGCACUCAUCAUCUCAUUCUUUUGAUCGAUCGCGCGAUCAAAAAGGGAAUUUUGGAAUUCUGGAACUCAAAUCUGGGAGUGAAAUUGCGAUCAAUGCAGGCUGUUCUAUGUGCGCUAAGUAGCGGCGAGAAAACCCACGAGCGCGAUUUUGCUAAGCAAAUCCCAGGAUCACGUAAAAAGCACCAAGAACACCGGGCAUUCAAAUGGAGGGAGGAGGAAUUCUCUUACCUGGACGAUUCGGUGAGCUCGACGGUAGGACGUGCAAGCGGAGCAGAGUGGAUUCUUGGCGAGGCAAACACAAGACCUGGCUCUCAGGGCGAUCGAAGCGAUUCGAAUUCCAGCGAUCAAAAGAGAUGGAUCGAUCGAUGGACGGGGAAAGAAGAGGAAGAAGGCAAACGUUUAAUAACAAGAUUGAUAGAAAUUAACAUCACACAAGACACACCCACACAGCACACACAUUACAUUGCAUCAAGGCGGCUUGGGGCCGCCGAUGCCGUCCAUUCGUUUCAUCCGACGGCCGCCAACUCCUCGGAAUUCCCUUCCUCAGAAACACCGUCGGAUUCUAGCGGCCAUCCAACGGCCCACAGCGAAGAGCUUGCAUGGCUGUCCAAUGCCGCAUGCCGACAAGAUGCUUUUCCCUAACCUAAAUAUAGAGUAAUUAGCACUAUACAAAUAUUAGUAUAUAUUAUCGUAGUUGUACAAUUGGAUUUCACAUCAUCCUUUUUUCUCAAAAUGAUGAAAAACUAUCAAUAUUCUUUCAUAAAUGGGCCAAGAUUUAAAAAAACAUUAAGAGGAGGUAUCAAUGGAUCUAUAAAUGGUGUUAGUUAUUCAUAAUCCCUUUGUAUAAAAUGUUUCAACUAUUGCAUAUACACAAUUUAUGAAAGAUUUAUUUGUUAGAUGUCAUGCCAAACCUCAUAAACUUGCAGUCCCACUUGCUGCAACACCCGAUAUAGUCCUUUCUACUGAGCAAAAAGCCCCUUAGAUAAACUAUAUACUAUAAAAUUAGGAAAAUAGAUUAACAUCAAGUCAUUUAUUCUGUAUUUCAUAGAUGGGAGUUAUAUCAUUAUUCUUGUCCCACUUAUACAUGAUUAAAGUGUUCGGUAAACUCUACUCAGACAAGUGGAAGAAUGCUCAUCAAAUACUAAUCCCAUGAUCUAACAUACAAAGGUAAACCUAACUUUGUUAGUAAUAUUGGAUCAUGAUCAUAUAGAAGUUUAUAUGGUGAAAACUUACAUCCUUGUGAUAUACAUAUAUUAAAGAGAUGGCAAAUAAUUAUUCUAAUCUAAAUGUUGAAAGUUCACAUACUUCACAAUCAUCCUUUUGAAGGUUCGAACAAGCCGUUCUACCAAAUUGUUUGACUAUGGAUGAGAAACACUUGUGAAAGUGUGGUGUAUCCCAAAUUGAGACAUCAAAAUAUGAAAUACUUUAGUUAUAAAUGCAGGACCAUUAUCUGAAAAAAUUCACUCUAAACAGGAUUGUUGGAACACCAUUCUAUUGAGGAGGAAGUAUCCAACAACAAUUGUAGAUACGUUAGCAAGAGCACUGACUUCCACCCAACAAGUUAAGUAAUCAGAAGAAAUAAUAAUAUACUUAUUGCCAAUAAUUGAUCGUGGAAAAGGUCUCAUCAAAUUAAACGCCACCAAUUCAAAUGGAUGGGAAACUGUAAUUGACUCUAACUGUCCUUGUGCAGCAUGAGGGGAAGUAUUACGAACUUGGCACCAAACACAACUACACACAUAUCAAAUAACAUUACAUCGCAUCUCCGGCUAAUAAAAAGACUUGCGCAACUUCACGGUCACACGAUGAUGUCCUAUAUACCCACCUAGAAUAGGAAAAUUAUGGCAAGCAUAGAGAAAACAUGGAAUAAAGAUGGAAAGCACCACAAGACAUAAAUGAUCAUUAAGAUUCAUCCCCAGAAAAUAAAGAAAACCGUCCUUAAGGCAAUAUUGAGAAUGUAAAUGCCGAAAUGGCAAGUCAUUAGCAAGUGAUGUAGGAUUCUUAAACCUAUCGUGAAGUCUUUAAAUCCACUGCUCAAUUUUUUUAGCUUCAUGAACCUUGUCAAGAAAAGGUAAAUCAUGUUUUGCACCUUAUGGACACUGAACAUCAAAAUACAACAACUGCCAAUGGCACAAAAUCCUCAUCUUAAAAAUCCACAGAUGCUAGAACAACAGACUUCUCAGAAACAUGAGAAAAGAGUGAAGAAGGAAAAGGAGCUCGAGAAAGAGCAUCAGCAUCAGCUACAGCUAUAUAACUCCCUAAGUAAUGAACAACAUCAAAAUCAUAUAUCAAAAGGUUCAAAACCCACCGAAUAGUAUAAUUAACCAAGUUCUUCUGUUUUAAUAAUGAAGUAAUUGUAGUAUGAUCAUCUUGUAAUAAUGUCGAAGAACCAUGUAGAUAUACAUAAAGUUUCUUAAAACUCUAAACUAUUGCUAAACACUUCUUCUCUGUCAUAGAGUAGUUCAUCUCCGUUAGUUGUAAUGUAUGGUUAUAAUAGGAUGGCACUGACUAAGCACACUUGGGCUCUCUUGCAUCAACACACUUCCAAGACUAUCUACAUGCAAAAUGAAAGGCCGAGUGUAGUCAAGAUAUGCUAAAACUAAAGGAAUCAUCAAUAACUCUUUGAAAUCUGUAAAUGCCCAGUCACGGUCCAUAGACCAAAUGAAAGAUGACAUUGACAACUUCAACAAUGCUCACAAUGGUGCAGUGUAAUAAAAAAGAUAAUCAACAAAACGAUUGAGAUAUUGCACCUUGCUCAAGAAGUUGUAAACUCUUGAGUUUAAACUUCUCAGAAGGUCACUCAACCUAAUACUAUUUAAACCCAAGGACACUUAACCCAAGACUCUUGACAUAUUGGAAAAAGGGGUGCAUUUUUAUUCAUGGACCUUUCCCCUUUUUAUUUGAACCCUGGAAAAGGGGGUGCACUUUUAUUCAUGGACCUUUCCCCUUUUUAUUUGAACUCUUAUGGAGUCAUUCUGUUUAAUUACUUAUAGAAGCGUUAUAUAUCAUUCAUACACUUUAGGGUAAGGAACUUUAGAAUAGUUACAAAUUUGUCAAGAUCAACUUGCAAACUUUUACGAGAAAUAUGGUACCGAAGAUAAGUUAUAUCCUUAGAUCCAAGCAUGCAUUUCAACCACUACAACUUUAAAUCAACUUUCCGUAGCCAAUCUAACACCUUACAAAUACCAUAGACGUGUUCUUCCCAUGUCCCCUCUGAGUGGAUAAAAUAAUCAUCGAUGAAGUCAGUAGUCACUUCUGGCAUAUUACAAAAAGCCUUGUCUAUCAUCCACUGAAAAGUUGUUAGAGUAUUGUUCAAACCAAAUAGCAUCACCAAAAACUUGUACAAACCAAAUAAUGUAUGAAAAGUAGUCUUAGGAAUAUCUUCUUCAACAAUCGGUACUUGCCAAUAUCCUAAAACAAGAUUUUACUUAGUGAAUUAACAACUUCUUCUCAGAUGAUCCAAGAGAUCAAUAGUGUGAGGAAGAGGGUACACAUCCAAGAUCUCACGUUAUUUAAUGGACGAUAGUCAAUGCAGAAAUGAAUAUUCUCAUCAGACUAGGUCGCAAGAUGGGGUUUACACACCCAAGGACUUUAUGACUUUCGAAUAACAUUAUUUUCCAACAUUUUCCUGAUGUUUACACUUAAAAUCUUAAUCUCUUUGGGUGUUGUGAAUGUGACUGCAAGUAUUGAAAGCUACUUUUCAGCUAAUCCUUUCAAAUAUUCUUUCCUUACUAUCACAACGGUAGAAGGUCAAUAUUGCUAGACCCUUUAUUAGUCCCUUUUGUGCUAGUGGAGUUAAGUAAGCAUUUCGAGUGUACUUAGAUUGGACGAGUAUAAGGAUGGAAUUCCUACAUGCUAUUAAUUAAGCAUACUUAGCCUGGUAAGGAGUUCCCGUCUCAUUGUGUUUUGCACUAGUUAGUGACAAAAAUCCUUGUGUAAUGAGACUAGUCCCUCAGUAUUGUCAAAUGAUAGCUUACCAUGCCUGGCGAACACCUUCGCUAUCAUGCUCUUUGUGUUAGUCUCAUUUUGAUCCCAAAUGCUAUUUAUGGAAAGUAUCUAGAUUUACUAAUUUGGCAUAUCUACAAAAUAUAGAGAUUGUUCUAAACACAAUGGUGUUCAUCCUAUGUCCAGAUUCUCAAUCUAGCACCAUUUUACAUUUAAUAAGUUUCAAGUUAGUCCCAAAGACUAAUUCUUUGUACUAAAGAUGGCUAAGGGUGAAAGCCCAAAGUGUGCAUUCCUCUAAGGGGGGGAUAGCACAAGAAGGCAUUGGACUUCAACCUAGGCAUAGAAGGGAGGCUCUGGUGGAAUCCAGCCACAUAAGCGAGAGUAUGCUAUGGAGGAGGUAUAAUGAUCAUUGUCUCUUCCAAGUGGUUAGUGCAAGUAUGUGCAUAAGGUGUUAGUACCUAGGAAAGCAUAGUUGUUGGUCAUGCACCUACACUUUAGGCGAGUCAAAAUUGUCGAUGUUUAUACACCCACUCAAGGAAGGGAGCGUGCAUAAAUAUGGGUAGAAAUUUAGUAGAGCACUCAAGGAGUGGUGGACGAGUGGCUCAUGGUAAGAGAUUUCAACAUGGUUAAGGAUUUGAGUGAUUGUCAAGGCUCAUUGGGAACCAUUCAAGGGCAAAAAAGGAAGAGUUGGAUAGGACCAGUGGAAGCCUUGGGAAUACUAGACCUCCAAUAUGUGGAGGGCUUCACUACUCAUUCCCACCUAUUCACAAGAUGGCAAUCAACAAGGAGCCAAGCAUACCUAGACAGGAUUUAUGCCUCCACCAGGCUGUGACAAGAUGGAGGGGGGCUCAAAACAUGGCUUACAUUUGCCACCUUUUCGAACCACGACCCACUCUAGGGCAUCCUUAAGCUAUAGGCUAAGAAGGGAAUGACAGUGCAACAGAGAAUCACUAAAGCUACAUUGGCUGACCAAGUAAUGUUGGAGCUCAUCCGAGAAGCACUAAACGAGUGUAAAGGGGAACUUGUUUUGGCCUUGAGUACUUGCUCCACUAAACUUCGGGAAAGGUAAACAACACUCAAGGGAAAAGUCCUGAAGAAGGUGAGGUUAGUGAGGCAAAAGGUGGUGGUAGCCCAAAUAAUGGUAUUGAACAUGAACGAUAUGGACAAAUGGAUAGCAACAUUGGACGAGAGGGAAGUUAAAUUGUGAGAUAAGGAAUAUGUAGUAUGGAGGACAAAUGGGUGAUGAAUAAGAGACUCCUCAAUAAAGUUUUCUACAAAGGGAUCCAUCCAGUCACCGACACUCCCCCAAUCCUAGGACAGCAUGGCCACAGAUCCUAGGGGGGCUUGGGAUCAUAGACCCCAGUGACAUGGCAAAAGCACUAAGAUAUAAAAUCAUUCUCAUGGCCUGCAAUUAGGGAGGCAACCAUGGUAGCUAAUGUUUUGAUAAAGUCUCGUAGCGAUACUCCCCAAGCACAACGUGGCCAAACUUUGGCAGGAGGACCCUUGGUGGCUCUUUACAAAUGGGCCAACUCAAGUAGUGAAAGGGGGCAACAUCAUCCAAAGUAUGCACAGAUUAUAGAGAACUUUUCCACUUUAACAGAUGUUGCCGAGUAGAGUUAAGGGGUGGCUCAACUAGCCCUUGUUCUUGAAUGUAGUGUUCCAAAUGGGAGACGUCACACUGGGUUGGGAGACACACUAGACAAUCUAGAGAAAAAUGCAUUCAAAUGGUUUUUGGACCAUGAAGAAAUUGGUUGGAGUGAUCAAUAAGGAUUGGUGGUGAACAGAGAAGAAGACACAAGUGUUUGGACCGAGGAGGUGGCACAACAUCCAACUAGACAUUCUGCUACUCCUUCAAGUCAUGAACAACACUGGAGGGACAAAGUGGCCAAGAAGAUGCCUCAAAGCAAGAGACUUUGUAGCAAUCCAACAACAAAUGGAGUGGGACAAAUAGGAUGUAGUGCGUCGUCCAUUGGGGACAUGGACACAAGCAUUCAUAGCACCUAAACUAGUGUGGGUAGAAGGGGAUGUUGAGGUGUGGUUCAUUGCUUCAUCGGAGUAUAACACAGGAUGACCUUUUUAUGUUACUAGAGGAGAUACACUUUUCCUAACAGGUGAGACACAAAUGAUGCCAAAAGUCACUAAUGAUAAGGUAUGUGGGAGGAUCCAAGUUUUUAGGUAGAUGCCCAAGAGGCUGGACAUGGUGGAGUUAGAGGGCUUACUAGAGGGUGUUGGAACAUUGCUAUGGUGGCAACAAUAGAUGAUAGAAGAUCUGGACUAGGACCCUAUUGCAUGGUGACGAGGGGUGAAAAGCUUCAUCUCCUAUGAGGUCAAUAAAGCAUGUAAAGGAUUGCUGACAUCUAGAGAAGAGGCAUGGGAGGAGAUUCUGAGGCUGUAGUAGAAGUGGAUAGCACAAGGGGUUGAUGUGGAGCAGAUGGUGAACAACACAAUUCACUUGUAAAAGCUACAUAUGCAAGAGAAAGUGAAGGUCACCUCAUGGCUAGCAGCCAAUAAUAGUCUCCCGGUCAAACUGUGCUUUCAAGAUGAUGCAAGUCGCAGGUGCAAGAUCAAGAUGGUCAUGCAUGCACUAUGGGAGUGUGAUAUUGCAAAGGAGGUAUGGCAACAAAUCAUCAAGGCAGUGAAGGAGUUGGGAGUUACACAAGAGUUUGAGGCUUGCAAUGGGGACGUUCUCCACUAAUUUGAGGGAGCAAGAGGUCUUACCCAGGGCUUGGCCCUGUGACACAUCAAGUGUAAAGGCCGACAUGGCUAGGGGAUCUAGGUCCACUAGGAUGCGAUUGGGAUGGAAAUAGGAGUUCUCAUGUGGGAAGCUCUUGGCCAUGCUCAAUGGGUAGUAUGGCCAGCGAUGGGGGUCCAAGCCUUGUGGGAAGCACAUAAUUGGGCAUGCUUUAAUGGGAUACAGGUCAAAGAAUCAAAGUGAUGGUAGAGUGGUGGAGACUUACACUAGCAAUGGUACAGCUCCACUACACUAUCCUCUAGGACAAGGGAAAGCCAAAUCGGCUAGAGGAGUGGCGGAGAACAUGGUUACCAUAUUUUGGUGAUGGCGACCAGAAAGGAGUUUGAUGGAGAUGGCACCCCAGAAUUAAUCUUGCGGUCCGCACAAAGGGGGGACUUGGACUUGGAUGUGGUAUGAUGGUGGCAACUGCAACUGCUUCUACUUUAGACUUAGUGUCACUUAGAAUGAGGGAGAGCGCCACUAGGUAGUGUGAGUUUAAGGUGGCAUACCCAAUUUUUGUAUUAGUCCCUAUGUGAUAUUGGGAAAUGUACAUACACGUUUCAUCCUUCAUGAGUUAGUCAUGGAGAAGGGAAAAGAGGAAAAAGACGGAAACAUAAAAGGAAGUAAUGGGGAGACAAAAGUGAUGGAAACACUAGUAAAACUAGAGGGAUGAAAAGUUAUUGAAGUGAAAGGAAUGGAAACAAUAUAAAAAAGUAUGAGACAAAAGAGAGAAGUUUCAAAGUCACACUCGGCAUAAUUAUGCUGCAAUAAAUCUAUAUCAAGGAUGAGGUCAAAAGGUUGACUUGGCACCACUUGCAAUGAUUGCAACUCAAGCUUGAGAUCACCUAUAUGCAUAAUCAAGUCCGCCUCAUCCCAUGCACAUACAUGUGUACUGCCGUUGCUAUAAAAAAUUAAAACUAGCUUUGCCACAUGAUAUAAAUGUAGAUGGCAAUGUAUGGCAAUAGGCCAAGCAAUAAAAAAUAAACUCGAGUUCAUAUCAACAAAUAAAAAAGAAUAGCAAGAGAUUUGUUAUUAUAAAAACAUGUUUGGAAAGUAACACUAAUUGGCUAGUGCCGAAUGAACCCCUUGAUGAUACUCCCGAAAGAAAGAUGGAAGGGUCACUGACUUAUUCAUGCAAGAUCCCUCCACUAGUCGCAUGAUUCCUCAUUUCCCAAAAACAUCUCAAUGUUCAAACCUUUCAUUACAGCAACACCAAUAGGACAUUGAUGCCAAGGUCUCCAUCCAAUAAAUGGAAGUUGCCACUCUGAAAAACACAAAUAAUGUUAAUAAGUGUGACUAACUUCAUCACAUGCCUAAUAACAGAUAUCAUGGCCACGACCAUAUUCUCACUUUUGUCCUUGAGUUUGGGCAGCAGUAGUAUCAACCUAGCAAAAAGCAUUGUCAAGGGUGGCUGAAGCAAGUGCAUGCAUAAAUCCUACAAAAUCUUAAUAAAGUACUAGCCAUAACAUUCCCAACUUGAUCCAUUCCGACAUAUUAUGAGACACAUAUCCCUAACCCCAAAGUGGAGUCAAAAGGGUGCUAUGUGGUAGUAGCUGAGGUGGAAGUCAAACAAAUGUAACACAUUUGGAAUAAAAUACUCCAACUUGAAAAAGUCAAGAGCGGGAGUGAAACCUCAAUGAGGUGCUCGAGGACCGAGCUUGAAGUGAGAAACAAAGGAGUCUUUAGAAAAGGGGACACAAGAAAAAAGGACACAAAAGGACCAACAAAUGACACGUCGAAGAGUCUGAGAUGGACCUGAGAUGGAGUCCGAGAUGAACCCGAGAUGGAGCCUAGAUGAAGUCCGAGAUGAAAUCCAAAAUGGAGUUCGAGAUGGACUCGAGAUGGACCCGAGAUGGAGUCUAAGAUGGACCUGAGGUGGAGUCCGAGAUGGACCUGAGAUGGACCCAAGAUGGACCCGAGAUGAAGUCCAAGAUGGACCCAAGAUGGAGUCCAAGAUGGAACCAAGACCGAGACCGAGACUGAGUUCGAGUAUAAAACCGAGACCGAGACCAAGUCCGAUUCAAGUUGUUGGGUGAAAGCCUAAAGCGAUCGUCCCUUAGGCGGUGGUGGGGGGGCGCUGCAAGCAAUUUUAGUUGAGGAUGGUGCUUAUGAAUUUGAGACCAGAAUUAAUGACCGUGACAGGUUAAAUACAGAUAAGGACAUAAAUCCUUGAAAUGGUAGCCGGGGUUACCGUUUAUAAAUGCUGGAAGAAACCCAAGGAGUUGGGGGUGUACUUAGAGGAUGAAUUGGUAUUCUCAUUAUAAGGACAAAUAGUCCUAAGGGGUAAAAGUAGCCCACAGGGAACAAAAAAUAAUCAAGUGUUGAAAUAACACUUGCAAAAAUGGUUCUUAUGAGUAAAACAUGAAUACAAGAAGUUGUAUUCCAGCGAGCUGGCAUCUCAAAAGUAGGACUUUGUGGGUCAUUGGAUUAGCAAAGUCCAAAGAUGCUAGAUGACUCAAGUGGAGUCAAGGAAUGGUCCUAAGAGAUUGAUAAAAACAUUUGGAUUGAGGUAUGUUGUGCCUCACGAUGGAUAGGAAGGAUUAUAAAAUUCAAGUAUGAGAAUAGUGGGUAUCUCAUUAAUAGCAGAAUAUACUAUACUAAAGUUGUGGGAAAGGUGUUCCCAGAAAAAACAACUUUGACACAAAACUGUAUGUAAACAUUAUAAUGUAGUGCUAAUGAAUAGUUAACAUGAGAAACAAUUGUAUUAGUCUUGGCAAAGACCCAGACAUAAGUAAAAAGUGUUAUAAAGAUAGGCUCGUGGAGCCAAUGGUAUAAAAACACCGAAUGUGCCAAGGUGUGAUGCCUUGAGGUCAAGUUGGCAAGUUCAUGAGAACCCCUUCCCAAAGGAAUCCUAAUGAAAAUGGAAAUGGCAUAACCUAAGUUGAAAGGCAUGCAGUUAGAGUGUGGUGAUCCAAAUAAUAAUAGAGGUGUGGAAGCACCAACAAUGAGUUGUAAGAUUUGACAAUUAUAAAGCAACUAAACAAAAGGUGCAAAGUAAUUGAUUGAAUUGGUAAAAGAUAAUUACCUAAGACUUCUUAUUGGGAUAAAGAAGUUAGAGAUACCCUUAUAAGGGAUAAAUUGUUUAUGUUGCGAUGUAAUAAAUCAAUGUCGUGAAAGGAAUAUUUAUUGUCAAAGAAGUCCAUCAUUAAGACACUAAAACACUCUAAAACACCAGGAAAUGGUGUUUGGUAUCAUAAGGAUAUUAGAUAAGGCCUAAGGGACAAAGUCCUUAGCAAAUGAUGGAUAAGAAGUGUUAUCCAGCUUCUAAAGUUGUAGAGACGGGAGAAAUCUAUUUAUUCAAAUUGGACAAAGCCAAAAAGGGAUUUUGGCAAGGCUAGUGAUAGGCAUAUAAAGGCCCAUAAGUAGUAAUGUUAAUCUCGGUGUGUGGGAUUACAAGGUGAACAUACCCGGAUUGAAGAACCACUCCCUAGGCUAAGAAUGUUUGUUAAAGCAUGAUAGAAAGUGCAAAGCUAUCUUUUUAAUUUAAAAGAGAAUAACUGAAGAAAAUGUGUAAAGCCAAAAGCAAAUAGUAAGGGGGUAGAACUGAAUCAUAGGAAUCAAUAUGCAAGUUGGGAGUGGAGAAUUAAGUGGGUGCUCGAGCAUAUUGUUACUAACAACUGUGAUGCCAUGGAGUUUAAAACAUAGAAUUAUCCAUGUUAGACCAUAUAUCAAUUAGAAAGCUUAUGAAAAGAGAGGCCUUAGCAAAUAAGUAACAAAGUUCCUUCAAGGUUCCCAAAGACAAUUCUAAAUAACUUAGUAUUUAGAAAGCCAAAGUGUAAAUGGUUCAUAGAAUGUGUGAAAUCAAAGUGGCACAGCAAAAACAUGGUUUUGAAGCUUGCUAUAAGGCAAAGCUAUCAAGGUUGGGGAAGUAGUUUCUAAGUGUUCAAAAAUAUAGUUUUGAAUGAAAAUUGAUAGUCAAGGACUUUCACACUUGCACAUGAACCAUGUUAUGGUGGUUGGAUGACUUGCUAAGCAAGAUUGGCAAGUCAAGGGAACAAAUACCUUAAUUGAUAGUGCUAACCUCAAAGGGGGUGGCCCAUGGGGCCAAGUAUGGAAGAGUCUAUGCAUGAUUACAAACUUGUCAAGUGAGAGGAUUUGACUGUAUGAAGGAACUAGGUUCCUAAACUGUGAUUUAUAACACACUUUAAGUAUAAGUUGGUGCACCAGCGUAGGGAGUCAUGCCAGGCAUUUUGGGUGAUGCCAUUCGUAGAUGCAUAUACAAAGGUUGGGUUUGAGUCCUAACCCUUUAGUACAUGGGUUCGAGUCCUAACUCACUAGGACGUAGUGAUAGUUUAGAAUAUGAGGACAUUCAUUUUUCAGUGGUCAUAAACUCUUAAGAAAGAGACUGGCUUGGGCAUAUUGCCAAGUGGGGGAUGCUUCGAAGUUGUGAUGCACAGUUAAAUUGCUUAGUAUGGCUCAACAUAUUUAACUUGAACACUUUGGUGUAAAUAGCACCAAGGACGUAGUGAAUAAGAUGGGGACAUCUAAUCUUAGUUGCUAUGGACCCUUGGCUAGAAGGGCUAGCUUGGGCGCACCACUAAGUGUGGGGGAUGCCCCCGGUGUCAUGGUCAACAACUUAAAUGUCUGGAAGGUCUAGUACCUAUUGGCAAACCUGUUAAGGUGUUAAGGGUAGAUUGCUAAAUGAUCUUAUAGCUAAGCAAAGAUAAGGUCCUUAUGAGGUUAAAGAAUAAGGUUCCUAGUUCGAAGUUUUGAUUUGAACUAUAGAUAAUAGUAUAGCUUGGUCAAGGUGACGAAGUGGGAAGGACACCUAAAAGGAAACCAAUUGUGCUAAUAUGAUAGUAUAAUGAAUCUAAGAAAGUAGUCUCUAGGAAAGACCCAUGGGAGGGUCACAAAGUUGGGCUAUCGAUAGAGCCCAUAACAGAAAAUGCUAAAAAGACCUACUAGGGGUGAGCACCCUCUAGACUUGGCAAAAUAAAGCCUUUGCCAUGGAACCAAAAAGAUACUUCAAAAAUGGAGGUAGUGAUCCUAUAUUGCUUAGUGCAAUAAUCAACAGAUAUGAGCAAAAAGCUAGUGGCUAGCCAUGGGAAUCAUGGGAAAGAAUCCAAAUGACAAAAUUAGGCUAGAAACACUAAUGUGUUAGAUGUUAACAAAUAUUGAGAAAGGCAAUGUGUUUCCAAAGAUGGAUUCCCAAUUGCACCAAUUUGGCAAAAGUGGAAGCUCCAAGGGAGGGAGCAGUAAAGUACCCAAAUGAUAGGGCCAUGGAUAACCCUAACAUAAAUUAUAAUAACUGGAACUUAGUGCCAAAGAUGGUAAAAAAUAGAAAAGAGGAUAAUAGUGUCCUCAAAUAGAGAACUUCCUAGGAUAGGGAAGUGAAAUUUGCAUAAUAUGUGCAAUGCAAAGUGUUGGAGACACUUAGGGAAUUGACUUCAAGAAGUCAAACUUAAAAGUUUCAAAUUGGAAAAAGUUAUAUCGAUGGAAACUAAAACUUCUUGAGAAUGAAUAGUGGGAUGAGAGGGUGUCACUAACAGGUUUAACGAGAACUAAACUAAUAAAAGGAAAGAACCACCACAAGUGGUCGAAUGAAUCUUUAAGUUGGAGAGAUUAUGCUUCCUAGAGGAUAGACAAAGCAUGGUGAGCCUUCGGUGUCAAACCAUUGACAAAUAUUGGCUAAGUGCCAAGGAUGGAAAGGGUAAUACAUGCUAGUAUUACUUUAUAAAAUAGUUUAUUGUUCAAUGAGGACAUCGAACUUUGUCUAUGGGUGGUGGAGUGGUAAGACACAAAUCCCUAAGCCCUAAAGUGGAGCCAAAAGGGUGCCACGUGGUAGUGGCUAAGGUGGAAGCCAAAUGAGUGUAACAUAUUUGGACUAAAACUCUCCAACUCGAAAAGGUUGAGAGCGGGAGUGGAACCCUCAACAAAGUGCUCAGGGACCAAGUUUGAAGUGAGAAAUAAGUGAGUUUAGAAAAGGGGACACAAGAGGACCAACAUAUAACAUGUAGAAGAGUCCGAGAUGGACCCGAGAUGGAAUCCGAGAUAGACCCGAAAUGGACCCUAGAUGGAGUCCGAGAUGGACCCGAGAUGGAGUCCGAGAUGGACUCGAGAUGGAGUUCGAGAUGGAGUCUGAGAUGGACCCGAGAUGGAGUCUGAGAUGGAACAAAGACCGAGACAGAGUCCAAGUCCGAAACUAAGACUGAGACCGAGUCUAAGUCCGAGUCCAAGUCUAAGUCUGAAUAUUAAUACAAGCUGUUGGGUGAAAGCCUAAAGCGAUCAUCCCCCAAGGGGGGGGGGGGGGGGGGGGGCUUCAAAAGUGCAAAGGGUUCCAAAAUUUUAUAAGGGGAGGGGGGGGGGUUGGCCCCUAAAAAACCCAUUUUGGCCAAAAAAGGCUUUUUUGCCCCAAAAAGGUUGUACCCAGGUGUUGGGUGAUGAGAUAACCAUUGGGAAGUCCAAAGUUAUAGUAAAUAUGGACUGACAAGCAGGGUAGUUUGGUAAAGUGUUCAAGAGCCAGCUUUAAUUCCCCCGGGAGAUCGAAUAGUCGAUGCUCCCAAUCCAAGCAUAAGUGGCACUACCUACUUAGAUACCUGGCGUGGCUCAACGAAACCUCACUCUAAGCCCAUAUCUAGAGCACCCAAAGGCAAAAGGCAAGGAGAGUACCCAUAAGGCUUGCAUAGGGUCACGGUGUUCUAAAAUGUUGUCCCAGAGUCCCAGAUAGUGGAAAGGAAGAGGAGCAAUCCUUUGGUGUAGUGAGCAAGGAUGCGGUCACAUGACAAGGAAGUCCUAGAGAACAAAAGGACUUGGUCAAGCCUGUGGGCCUUGAUUCAAUAGUAGUGUUGGCAAACACGGCCAUGGAUAGAAAAGGAUUUGGUGGGGACUGAAAAAAGGAUAUUAGGGAAAGCUAUUCCCCAUGUCUACAGGCAUUCUAAGGAUGUUAAGAAGUGGAUAUGGGAUGACCACUCAUGGACAAAUGACCUAAUCUUUAAGAGAUGGGACUAUGAUGUAGUUGGUGUUGGAUCACCAAUGUGACAAAGGUGAAUAGACACGGCCUUAGUGUAACAGGCUGAUAUAUCAGUGGUACUUUUGGGUGUCGAUCAUGGGACCAGACACGUGGAGCACUUGGAAUAAGUGCAAAGGUUAAGUGGCAUGGAUGCCAUUCUUGGGGCUAACAAACCCUAAGUCUUGAAUUGAACUUUUUGAGGUUGUGAAUGAGACUCCUCUAAGUGGUUAAAGGUGUGGUUAAGUGACUAAAGUAGAAUGGAAAAAUUAGUCGCUUACACAUAUUUGACUCUGCAUGAAGCAAGAAGUUAUGGAAACAAAUGCUAUAUUGCAUCAUUGAUUCAAAUGGCUCUUUGACGAAAACGAUGCAAUUGUUAGAAAGUAUCAUCACAAUCAUCAGCAUGUCUAAAUACUCGUUUGAAAACAUCUGAGAGAAUGCUCCAAUCCGCACGAGUGGUUGCACUCAAGCCAUUGUAUCACUGCAGUGUCGUCCCUUGGAGACAUGUGGGAAAUUCAUGUAAACGCUAAGCAUAUCCUAAGAAUGAUAUGUGGCAAUCACCAUAAAGUGAUUAAACCAAUAGUAUAUAUCAUCCCCAGGAUUCCUAUGGAAUAACUCCAAUUGAACAUAAAAAUUGGCAGCAAGAAUAGGAGGAACUGUACCAUGCACCAUAAGUGCCACCAUCAAUUGAAUUUGGUUGUUCAAUUGCAAUUACAUAGCAUCAAGCAAUUGCACUAACUAUUAUUCUAAAAUCAAAAGAGGAGGAGACUAUUACUCUGCCAUGAAGAUGAAUGAAAAAGGAAAGAACAAAAGAAAAAAAAAUGAAAAAAGUAAAAGGAAAAGAAAAUUUAGAUAAUGCAAAAACUAAAUCCAAACCAAAAUCCCAAAUUUAAACACUCUACAAGGACGAUCAAAAGUGCUCCUCACUGUGAGUGUAUAAAAUAUGGAAGUGGAAUAUAAAAAUAUAUAUAUCAAUUAACCCAAAAACCCUAAUCUAUAAUAAUAAGAACGAAAAACCCACACCCCCGCAGCCGUCCGAUCCCAGGCCCGGGGCAGCCUCGGAAGCCAUGGUUCUCGGCAAGGGGAAGCCAGCCCAGGCUCGGGCCAGGGCCGGUGGCCAUGGUUAGUGGGAAUAUCGGCUCAAUGUUGUGGUGGCCAAUGGGCAGGAUGCAUGUGUGGCCGGGAAGGGAAGAGGGCGUGGUGACAAAUGUUACACCAUGCACUUGCACCACAGCAUUUGCUGGGCAAGUACUCGUUUAUAUAUAAGAACGAAUGAUAGUUAUUAAAAUCCCACUAUGCUAAUAUUAAUAUACAGCACUUUAACCUCACACAUUUAAAUUUCCAUUAUCUUUUAUUUUUGGGUUUGGGUUUAAAAUUUUUUGGCAAAAGAUUCUAAAUCAAGAUUCCAUUAGGGCUUAUAAAACUUGCAGAAUAUAUGAAGUUUUGUCCCGCGCGAGCGAGGGAGGGCAUUCUUGGAGUCAUGGCGGGGGCGGCGCCUCUGGAUUUUCGAUUCCUCGACGAGGGGCUAGGCGGCGCCAAGAACAAGAAGCACAAGCGCGAUGCCGAUCAGGCGGCGAUGGAUGUGGAGGAGCAGUGGCAGGAGGAGACGGCAGGCUUUGGACCAGAGCCUCGUCCUGCUUGGAUGAGGGAGAUUCCAGGCCCGUCUACGGUAAGCCCAGCUACGACAGCGUGAUCGCGGGGAAGGUGUCAGGGCGCAAGUGGAAGGAGGUGAAGACGUGCCGCGCGUCGGCGCUGUGGGUCGAGGGCAGCAGCCUGGAGGAGCGCGCCAAGGCCAAGCGCAUCGCGGCAGAGUUCCGGGAGCGCAAGCAGCAGCUCAAGGAGCAAAUCCGGGCCAACAAGGUGGAGAAGCGAAAGAGGCUGGAGGAGUACAAGAAGAGGAAGGAGGAAAACGUGAAGAAGUCGGGGUUGAAGCUCCAGAAGGUGACCAACCUCAAGAAACUCCAGAAAAUGUCCAAGAGGGAAAAGAAGAAAUUGGUGGCACAGCACGGCAAUUAAAGGUGGCAGUGUGUCGCACAGAUCUGCGAGAGAAAGUAAGUGCUAGACUCGAUUGUUAGAUCGAUCGAUAGUUUUAUUUUUUCUCUCCUGUUUUUUGUCGCUUUAAUUCCUUGUUGUUGCCUGAGAAGGACCAGAGAUUAUCGCCGGGCUCUUCUCUCAGACCGAUCAGCGAAAAAGAAAGCAAAGAAAGAAAAAACAAUUCUAGAGCCUCGGAUGUUGCAGUAGAUGGAAGGCCCAGCUACUCAUGCAAGUGAGCUACAGUGGUGUUGAUUUCCUCAACGUUUAGAACAGCUCUUCUCCACUCGUUACUUGACUUUCGGCUGGCUCGAUUUGGCUCGGCUCGGCUGCUUUAAAGGUUCCUACUGGUUUCCUGAUUGGACGGACAAAAUCCAAACUUCCAGUGGUGUUGGAACCCAAGAGAAAGUCAUAACCUUUUCAUCCACUUAGAAGAAAGCAGGAGAGCAACUAGGCAACGAGAGACAAACUCGCCAACAUUUCAUUAGAUGUACACAAUAAAUACAGCAGCCGCCACAGCAGUAACAGCAGCAGCACAGGGAAGAAGAAGAAGAAAAACACCAAGAGAGAUGAUGUCAGAAAAAAAUGGAUGAACCGGCAAGAGAUCUCGAAAUCUUUGAACGUCCCGUGUCGCGUUCUGAGAAAAGGAAGGAGAAGCUGAAGAGAAACACAAGAAGUGUGCUCGCUCGCUGACCCGCUCGUUUGAUCGAGAGCUAGCGAGUUAGCGCAGCUCAAAAACUGGGCGUUCCGGACCAGCCAUCGAGACACUUCAACAAGGGAGCAACAAGCUUCCCCUGGCAGAUGGCAUCGUAGACUUUGGUGAAGUCCUCGCCGGGCGUUCCACUCUUGGUCCCCAUGAGCAGCGCAGUUCCAGCACCUUUCCUCACAAACUCAUACAGCGGCGCCGAGGCACAGUCGAAGAUCCGGUUUGGCAGCACCGCGUUACCGCUCUCGUACGCCUCCCUGGCCGCCGGGACCUCGACACUCAACGCCGCCUUGAGCUCCUCCUCGAACAGCCCGAUCUUGUGCAACACCGAGGAGCUCUCGUCCCCGAUGUUCUUCAAGGCGUGCUCGACGAGAACCUGGCGGAGCUUCUGCAUGAGCGGGUAUCCAGCGCUGGCCGGAUCAUCGAUGUAGGUGAAGACGUGCUGGUUGUCCACCACGGACAGGAGCUCCUUCUCGCAGAAGCGCGACGGCAGCAGCGCUCCGGCAGCUCCGGUGGUGACCGUGUUCUUAGCGGCGUGAGAGACGGUCUGCUUCACAGUGGCUUGCAAGUUCUCCUCGAGGUGGCGGAGGUCGAUGGCCUGGCACAAUGCCACCAGAUACGUCGACGACAUGAGCUUGAGGAUGUCGAGAGCUUCCACCGUCUUGCGAGCGGAGACGAGGCCGAGAGAGUUCACGUCCUGGUUGUGCUGCUCGGCGCUCUGGACGUGGGUGGUGACCGGGUUGGCCAGGUACUGGAGCUCCGAGGUGUACGAGGCCAUGGCGAUCUCGGCACCUUUGAAACCAUAGUCCAAGCUCGGGUUGGAUCCGCCGCUCAAGUUGGAAGGCAGGCCGUUGUUGUAGAAGUCAUUGACGAGCUCCGAGAACUGCGCGAACAUGAGUUUCCCGAUGGCCGCCACCGCCAAGCGCAAGUUAUCCAUGGACACACCGAUGGGCGUCCCCUGGAAGUUCCCGCCGUGGAGGGCCUUGUCGCGAGCAACAUCGAUGAUCGGGUUGUCAUUCACGGAGUUGAUCUCGCGCUGGAUGGAGUGAGUGGCGUGGCGGAUGACUUCGAUCUGGGGGCCGAGCCACUGCGGGGAGGUGCGCAGCGCGUAGCGGUCCUGCUUGGGCUUCUUGAGGGAGUCGGUCUCGUGGAGCUUGGCGGCGGCCUUCAUGUAGGAGCUCCCGGCGAG
rnacentral:lncRNA from 1 species